GGAGCUCGUCUGCAGUGGGGGCGGUGCAGAGGAAGGGGAAUGCUCGGUGGGUUUUGGCCCCUUGGGAUCUUUUCUUGUCGGGAUUUGCAGAAUGCAAAUCAGGAAUUCAGAUCCUGCCAUUUCCAGCGGGAUUGAGAUGCCAGGCUCUCCAUUUCCAGCCAUGCUGGGCUGUGAAAUAAGCAGAGAGGAGGAAAUCUGGUUGCUGCUCCCUGUCCUGUUUCUGAUUAUGUCUCGUUUUCCUGGAUGUGAGGCCUCUCCAGAGGGAGAGACAUGACAAAAAAAAGGGCAGGGGAGAUUGUGUGACCUGGGAGAGUGUUCUGGGACCCUCAGUCGUCCUUUUCUGCUGUGCCUGUGUGUCCCCACUUCUUUGCAGUAAAUACUUCCUGCACUGCUGUGGCAGAGAAGAGCUGCACAGCUCACAGCAAAGCACCAGGAGUGCUGGGCAGGGAUGGCCAGAGGCUGCAGCUGCCCAAAAUGUGUCUGAAUCACAGCAAAAAGCACCGUGAGACUCCCAGGAGAGCCAGUGCAUGGGAGAUCAAUCACGGCAAGCACUAAAGUCCAGUGGGGAUGAAAGCUGAGAUAAUGGACCUGGGACUCGCUGGCCCACAGGACAGUUUUGAUUCACUGAGGUGAAUUUAUGCCCACCUGCACUGUCUUUCCCAAUGCCUGCUUGCUGCUGCCAGCGUGAUUAAUUCUGUGAAGCAUUUUGGGGAUMCUGGGGAGAAGAGGUGCACGGGUGUGUUAUGUCUAAUUCAUCUUUCUAAAUCCUGAGCUCUGUGAGUUACGUGCCUCUGCUGAUCAGAGUUUCCUCUGCAGAAAAACCUGCACUAAAGACUUCAGUUCCUGAUUAUAUGCCUCAUACUGGAAUGGUCCUAUUUUCCAGUCCAGAGGCAGCUUGAAAUCUCACACAAAGAAGAUUUAAUAAAGCAUUUCCUUUCAGAGCUCAGCCAGACACCAGAGAUUUCACAGCACUCAGCUAACUGCAAACCCCAGGUCACCCAUGGCCCCUUUCUCCAACAUCUCAUUUCAGUUCUCUGAUUAACUUGGCUCAGCUCCUCCUUUUCACCUUUUUUUUAUGAUGGCAGGACCACUUCUAUUUGUUGUUGUUCCCGGCGUUUAUUUUMCUAAUUUUUACAAUCUGAAUUUUUGAGAGUAAAAAAGGAUUUGGAGGGUCUGAGAUGACGGAGUGCACAUAUUGAUGGUUGUUUGGUGGAUGCUGUGCACCAUUCCACAUCCUCCAAAAGCAAAUGCAAAACUCAUCAGGAGAUCCUGCCCCGGUGUGCGGAGUUCACUGGCCAGUUUUGAAAAUCAAAAACCUGUUGCUCAAUUUUUGUGAGUUCAUUAAAAAGGGAGUGGGAUUUUAUGAUAUUUUUUUCCUUGGAUUUCCUGGAAACCUUCCUGGUUCCUAAAAAAGCACCUUUGGCCAAUCUCCCAUUGUUUUUUCCAGGGCUGGGUGCAGUGUGGGGAGUGUCCAGUCUCCACCUGCAGUCACGUCUCCUUGAUUUUUUUUUUGACAUAAAGGAUUAUUGGGUCGUGCCAACCUCAGCCUCUCCCAUAAGGUUUUGUGUGGCUGUAAAUGCCCCGAUAGUGGGGACACAUUUCUCAAAAGGCUGAGCURUGGUAGGAUAGUUCUUUUUGAUAUUUCUGAGCUCCUGUGUGGCUGGGCAGUCACCGCCCUUCGUGGGGCAGUCCAGGCUGUGACUCAGCACCUUGCAGGUUUUCAGCAAGCACAGAGAGGUUUUAGAGGAUUUUAGAUUCCUGUCUCUCGCUGCUAUUGGGACUUUUGAAAUACAGAGUGGGAGAAGGCUGCGUUGUAACUGAAAUUACGGUACUGAUUUGAGCCUUCAGGUUACUCAGGCAGAUCUUUAGGUGUUAUAAAUCCAUGUUCCACCCAGAGUGACUUUGGAAAUACACUGCUCUAUGUCAGCUGGGCAGCAGUGAAUAACCAUGGGGACUAUAACAAGAGCAGCACAUGGUGUGUUGGGACUGCCACAGAAGCAGAGAAAACAUUGGAUUCCAGAGUUGGUUUUAGUGUUUCUUCAACUCUGAAAUGCUCAGCACUAAAUGCAAUAUGGAAGUGAAGUAUGGACCCUCUCCAUCAAAGCCAAGCACCUACUUCUUCUGCUCUCCCUGAAAACCUCGGUGUCUCCUCCUUGCUCUUUUGUACCSAGGUACCAGCCAAGCAGAGCGAUAUUAAUUCCGAAAGUGGAGUUGCUGUGAUUGCCAAGGUCUGCAGCUCGGUGUCGUGCCUAUAAAUAUUAAUGGUCACUCUGCAUGCUGUGUGUUCCUGCAAUGGGCUCACGGGACAGCUUGCUUUGAACCAGAGAAAACAUGAAAAUGACCCUAUUUUUCAUCCUCCCCUCCCCACUUAAUGCCUUUGUAGAUAAUUGGCAUUUAGCAAAGGCCAAGUCAGCAUUUCCACUUCUUCUCGCUCGUAUUUUCUGGGGUUUCUAACUUAGUCAUAAAAAUUCACUUAAGGCGGCAGCUUGGCAGGAAAGGGAUCAGCAUACCAGCUAACGCUGAAAAUUUAUUUGGACCUUGACGUUUAAAAGUUCGAGCAAGCCAUUUUGGAGAUCAGUCAACAUGACCUCUCGCCCUGGGAAAACACAUGGUUUGGCCAGAACUGUGAACAGCACAUCCACCUAGGAUGCAGUUCCUUUUUGUGCACAGCCUGUUAAUCACAUUACUGCUGUGCUGACUGAAAUUGCAAUCCUGUUGCUGCAGAGGCUGAGCAAAGAACUCACUGCAAAAAAAAAAGCUUUCUGCCCUAGAGAGUGACAUAUUACAACAACACGGUUUGCCAGUGGGUGAAACAAGCAAAGCAAGAGUUGAAAUGGGAACGAACAAGCAGAGAAAUGCCCCGGCUCRGUGGAUGCGGGCCAGCAUGUGAUGUUCACGCCAUCGGUGCCCAUCAGGAGAGCAGAACAUGAGCAGAACACCCAGCAGAGCACCCAGCACGGAUAUARACUCAUCCAUGGGCACGCAACAGGCGGUCCCAAGCGCCUGAGGUGUGAUCAGUGCUGGCACCGUGGACCAGCCGCGGCAGAACCCGUUUGGCUUGCUCUGGAGGCGGCGUGGGGCCCCAGAACCAGGAGCUGCUCRGCUGGUCUGGUGGCCAUGUGGGAGGGAGUUCCUGAAACUGGCACGGCUCUUCCCGAGCUCUGUCUGCUGCAAAGAGCACCCAGAGGUUCUGCUGAGGAGCACCCAUYGAUGAAGCCACCCAUGGGACAGCGAGCAGCAAUUUUUUUUCCUGCAAUUUUCGUGGAUAGGAGAGAGACAUUUAAGUUAAUAUCCUGCUGAAGGAAAGAUAAUGCCAGAGAGCACAGCCAAAGCCAUGAGAGACGGGGAGUGUGACAAGGGCUGAAGGGAAGCAGACAGAGGAGGAGAGCUUGGCCAUGGAAAGGCAGCUCAGCCACCAGCCUUGCUGACCUCAUUCGACCCAAUCUGAUGGAAACAGAGAGGUCUCACAGCCCCAAAAUUCCUGCAAUUUUCAUGAACAAACAGCAGCUGGAUAGGAGAGAGACAUUUCAGUUAAUAUCCUGCUGGAGGAAAGAGAUAGGCUUUGAUUGACACUUCAAAUCUGCCUGACAAUCUUUUAUUCUAAGCGCAGUUGCUGCCUUUCUUCAGAGCAGGAAGAGCUGGUUGGGUUGCUGUCCUUCAAAUGAUGCAUCUUAUCAUGGGAAAAAGUAGGAAAAAAAAAUCCACAAACCACCUAGAAAGAACUACAGGAGCAGCAUAAAAAGAGGACAAGACCAAGGACCAGCCCUGGAAGAUGUUUUAGGUCCCUCUGUGUGACAAUCUCAGUGAAUUGUGAGAUGGAGAA